AGAAAGGAGAGAGAGAGAGAGAGAUUCCCUUCAUACUCAGUGAGACUUAUAAAGAUUUCAUUGCCGAAAGAUUCCUCAAUUCCGGUUUCCAUCGUGGGAACUUUGUCCGGGUUUUCGUUUGUUGGUUUUGGGCGAUAUUCAGGUACUCUGGGUGCUCUAAUUUGUCGCAGAAAGCAUAAAGAACCCAUAUAGAGCCCUCUCUCAUUUUACCAGCUGCUAUAUUGUGGUUGGGUGAAGCCUACCCAUGGCAGCAGUCUCUCUCUUCUCCUCUGCUACUAGUCUCCCCACCCUUUGGAGCUCGCCGCCUCGAACCCAUGAAGCUCUCAGUACCCUGUCAAUGUUUGAUUCUGUUUCUUCCCAAAUGUGUUGCAUAUCAUACCCACGAAGGCCCCGGAGAACUCGGUUUCUGAACAAGUUUUCAGUUUCGGGAAGUGCUUCUGUACAAGCUUCCUUGCCGGAGGAUGACGAUAGAUUUAAAGUGGAGUACACACCUUGGAUGAUUGUUGGAUUGGGUAACCCUGGAAAUAAGUACCAUGGAACUAGGCACAAUGUUGGUUUUGAGAUGAUAGACAGUAUUUGCAGAACACAGGGCAUUGUGAUGAAUACAAUUCAGUCGAAGGCAUUGGUUGGAAUAGGUUCCAUUGGAGAGGUACCAAUUUUGGCGGUGAAGCCUCAAGCUUACAUGAAUUAUAGUGGGGAAGCGGUUGGACCACUUGCAGCAUAUUAUCAAGUACCUCUACGCCAUAUAUUAUUGGUUUAUGAUGAAAUGAGCCUACCAAAUGGUGUUCUCAGAAUGCAGCCGAAAGGAGGGCAUGGCUAUCACAAUGGUGUGAAGAGUGUAGUUGGUCAUCUAGAUGGCUGCCGUGAUUUUCCUCGCUUAUGUAUAGGUAUUGGAAAUCCACCUGGAACUAUGGACAUGAAAGCUUAUCUUCUACAAAAAUUUAGUACAGCAGAAAGACAUCAGAUUGAUGCAGCAUUGAGUCAAGGCGUUGAGGCUGUGAAGACACUGGUGCUGAAUGGAUUUGACCCGAAUAUCACUAGCUUCAAUUUGAGGCAAAAAUACAAGUAUCACCAAGUGUAAUGUCGAAUUUACAGAACAAAAGUCAAUAGCACCUUGUAACAUCCUUUAUUUGAACCGGAAGGGAAAGAAUACAUUUUGAAACAACUUUGCUCCUCUGAGCUCUACUUCAGUAACUUGCGUAUGUACAAGAUUGGAAAUAGUUUGUUCCAGAAGCUUGUGCUCUUUGUAGAUGACUGAUCAUGUACAUAGGGUUGCAUCUUUUAUACUAUACAUGUACUUAAAACUCUGUUUGAUUCCUAUAGACAACCAUUUCAGAUAGCAAGUGCUACAA